UUUCCUUCUCGAUCCGCUGCUGCUACAGACUGAAGACGUCACUUUACUCAACCUAACCUGAAAAACAAGUUCUGUUAACUUCUACAUUCGCCGACGUAGCGUUUACUCUCGAAAAAUAAUAAUAUUUAAUUUGGAAAUACAACCGGUUUUUCCACGCGGUCAUCUUUACAACGAAUGACGGCGUCCUUUUACGUUCGAAUUCUCGUUAAUAAUUACCUUGAUUUGAUAGAGUUGAAGUUGAGUUGAAGAAACAACGUUAUCUCGAGGAUGAGACCCCGUUAUAAAUUUUGUGACCAUCCUCUUUUUUAAACAUAACCUAGUACUUGUUCAAUAUUUUGAUGUUUUUUGACUGUGUGACUUUAAGUAAAUCGUUUCAACAUUAUAAAUCUCACAAGGUCCUCACAUAUCUGACGUCGUGCCUGAAGAAGACAGCUAAGCUGUCGAAACAUUGUAGCACCAAUUGCGAAUAAUAAAAUUAUAUCAUCGUUAA